UGGAAACAGCUCCGACCUCCGAACCGACCCAAUCACAAACCAACCAGAUUCACCCAAACGCCGAACCAAACUUCGCAUCCCCGAAUCCCCGAUCCCCAAAUCCCUAACCCUAGCCUCGCCCGCCGCCACCGCCACCGCCGCCGCCGCCGCGAUGCUCCGCUCGCCGGGCCACUCCCCGCGCCACCUCUCCCCGUCCCCGGCGCCGUCCACGCCUCGCCCCUCCUCCCCGACGCCCUCGUCCGCCUCCGCCUCCGCCUCCGCAUCGGCCCUCGCCGCCGCCGCCACUACCACCACCUCCUCCAAGCGCCGCCGCCCGGAGGUGCUCGACGAGGACACCUACGUCGCGGCCGUCGAGCGGAUCAUCGAGCGGGACUUCUUCCCGGACCUCCCGCGCCUCCGCGACCGCCUCGACUGGCUCCAGGCCCUGCGCUCCCGCGACCCGCUCGUCCUCCGCGACGCGCAGCUCAAGAUCCUCGAGCGCCGCCGCCGCGCCCAGCGCCAGCGCCAGGGCGGCCCCGUGCCCACCCCGACGCCGGCCACCUCCACCGCGCUCCGCUCCCCGUCCUUCCUCGCCACCCCCUCCGUCGCCCCCUCCGUCGCCGGCGACGAGGGCGCCGACGUCGACGACGACGUCGAGGCCGCGCUCUCGCUCGACGACUUCUUCCGCCGCUUCACCAGCGAGGACAACGAGUCCUUCUCCCGCAUCCUCGAGAAGGUGAACCACCGCCGCCGCGAGCGCUAUGCCCACCUGCUGGAGCCUGGUGAGGUGGCGAAGGCGCCCCAGUUGGAGGACGCCAAGCGCGACAGGAUAACCGAUGGGUACGGCACGUCGGGGCAGCCGCUGAGCACCUUGGAGGGUGCCAAGUUCACGGCCAAGAACCUGCUCAUGUACUACCCGGCUGACCGUGGGGAGGCCCCGCUUACUGAUGAGGAGCGCGCCGAGCGGCUCAAGGGGAUGACCAAGGAGAUCGACAGGUCGAACACCAGGUUCCAUGGGAAGUCUUCUGUUGAUGAUGGUGCAAAGGAGGAGGAGGCAGCUGCUAUACUUUAUGCGCCAGUUGCAGGUUCCACUCCCGGAGGUAUGGCAUACCAUGAUCCUGAUAAAGCGAAGAAGUACGAUUUGGAGGAUCUAAGGAAGACUCCAAACCCAUUCUACGUUGAGUCAGGGAAGAAUGCAAACAAUGGGUAUAGUUUUGUGAGAACGCCAUCGCCAGCACCUGGCGUGGAUGAGUCACCGUUCAUGACAUGGGGUGAGAUUGAUGGAACACCACUGAGACUGGACCCAGAGGAGACACCGGGUGGUUCUGGGGGAAGUGAUAGGGCGCAUUUCAAGAUCCCACCUCCGCCUGCUCGGGAUGUAAAGGCACAUCUGCUGUCAAGGGAUGCAGCAAGGAAGAUAAAGGAGCGCACUAAAAUGUUCCACAAGCCACCGCUACCAUCGCCUGUGAGGGGAGGAAGUGCAAGCCCAAGGACCUUCUCUCCUGCAGCACAGAAGUUUGUUAGGAAUGCCAUUGCAAAGUCCUCUCGUACCAUUGAUGAGUCGCUCCGAGCGAGCUACAGAGGUACAACCCCAUCUGCAACCACUCCAAAGACAAGGUUUUCAAGAGACCCAAGCUUGGGAUCACGAUCUCCAUCGACAAGACAGGGUUCCACCCCUCCCUGGUGAUUUCAAUAAAACUCAUUGUUGCUUAUUUGACCCUCCUUUUCAAAAACGAACAUCCGUGGUGAAUUAACGGUGUUAAGUUAGGGUUUAUAGGAAAUCCACUCCAGAAAUGAGAUGUAAAAUCUGCAAUUCCUGUGCAAUUCCACCUUGGGCCCGGCAUUGUGGACGGAGUACAGCUUCCGGGGGCGCAGCCGCGCAGGUUGUGACAGUGCACGGGCACGUCUUGGCCGGGGUAGACCCGCUCGUCGUCGGUGAAGUAGAUGCUGUCGCUGGCGCACCACGGCAGGUGCCGCGCGUCGGUGACGAACGCCAUACCGGGUCCCUGUAUUAGUAUUAGUUCUCAUAGUAUGUUUUUUGAGAGGAAUUCAAUUUCAUCUAAAAUUGCUUGGUGAAGCAAACAUGUAAGGAUUUGAGGAAUGGUUCACUGAGGAACUGAUAGGCUUGAGAGGAACUGAUUGGCUCGAGAGGGAUCUUGUCUAUGAUAUAUAUUGAAAACUUUAAAAUCAAUAUGUGGUUAUUUCAGUUAGUA